ACCUGGGUGGCUCAGUCGGUUAAGCAUCUGACUUUGGCUCAGGUCAUGAUCUUACAGUUUGUGGGUUCGAGCCCCAUGUCGGGUU
rnacentral:tRNA from 1 species